UACGUAGGAUGCAAGCGUUGUCCGGAAUUACUGGGCGUAAAGGGCGCGUAGGCGGUCGUGACAAGUCACUUGUGAAAUCUCCGGGCUUAACUCGGAACGGUCAAGUGAUACUGUCGGACUAGAGUACAGAAGGGGCAACUGGAAUUCUCGGUGUAGCGGUGAAAUGCGUAGAUAUCGAGAGGAACACCUGCGGCGAAGGCGGGUUGCUGGGCUGAUACUGACGCUGAGGCGCGAAAGCCCAGGGGAGCGAACGGG
rnacentral:rRNA from 1 species